rnacentral:rRNA from 1 species
AUGGCCCUCAGGCCCCAACGGCAGAAGACCCGGGCGGCAGCGCCAAGACCACGGCAGCUGGGCUGGAACGACCGCGUCGCCAGGCCCAGCCUAGCAAGCGCUACGGAGGCCCAGAAUGGAGCACCGGCAAGUAAGGUUAAGUACGGCAUCCCCUCGCUGGGUGCGGGAUUUCCUUCUAUCCUCCAGACAAGGAAGGGUAAGGCCACGACGAUGGAGGAGCACACCAAGGCGAUCGCGGAUCUGACCGCGGCGAUCGCGGCCCUCACCACCAAGAUCGAGGACAUCCACCCCGUCGUCCACGAGCUGCAAGGAUGGCGGCCCCAGAUCGAGCAGUCCGUGGAGGAGAUCCGAUCGGAGGUGGGUCACUUGCGGACUCAGAUCGACAAGGCCACGCUCACAUCGCCGGUGGACAAAGCUGCGGGGACCGCUCCACCACCUCCUUCCCUGCGGCUCAACGAGCUUCCGCCGCUGCUUCCUCACCUCGCGGAAGGGUCGCGGCCCCGAUUGCCGCCACCGACGGCCGACGCACCCCAUCUGCGCGCCGUCGACACCUUACCUCGUGGUGACAACAGUCACGGGCCCGAUGGCCACGGCGUUCUCACCGAUCUUCGGGGGAAAUCGUCAGGGGAGACCCGUACCCCUCGAUUGCCUCCGGCCACUGGUACGUCUGAUUUCUACCACCACGGUGAACAGUCAUUUGCGGGGGAUCGAGGGUACUUUCGGUUGCCACCACCGCCGCGGUUUGACUUUCCAUUGUUCGAUGGAUCCAAUCCGCGUGCUUGGCGUCUCAAAUGUGAAGCAUACUUUCGGGUGUGCACCUUGAGCGCGGACACAUGGGUUAGUUGUGCUGCGAUGUAUUUCACCGACAGCGCACUGUCAUGGCUGCAGUCAUCGCAAGCUCACUUGCAUUACCAGGAGUGGGGGGAGUUUGCAGCAGUUAUUUGUGCACAGUUUGGUAGGGAGGAAUUUCAGAAUUUGCUGCGCCAGUUCAAUCGCUUGCGACAAACGGGCACUGUCACUGAAUAUGCUGAGCAAUUUACUCAGUUGAUGCAUAACUUAUUAGCUCAUCAUAGUUCAUGGGAUCCUGCAUUUUUUGUCACCCAGUUCAUGGAUGGAUUACAACGUGAAAUUCGUGCUGCUGUUGUUUUGCAUCGACCCCAAACUCUGGAUACUGCUGUGGAUCUUGCGUGUUUGCAGGAAGAAGUUGUGGAGGCCCUUCGGCGGGACGAGAGGCGCCACCCCGCGCCGCCGCCAAGCUCUCAAGGGGGCCGGGCAAUUCCUCGUAUGGCCCUACCAUUACCUCCACCACCAACAUCCACCGCUCGGCCAGGGGGCACGGCUUCAGAGUCUCGGCCACCAGAGACAUCUCGAGCUCCACUGAACGACGACAAGCUAGCGACCCUGCGGGCUUAUCGGCGAGCCAAAGGACUCUGUUUCACUUGCGGCGAGCGCUGGAGUCGCGAGCAUCGUUGCGCGCCAACUGUGCAGCUCCAUGUGGUGGAAGAGCUGAUUGAGAUGUUGCAAGGCCCAUCACAACCGACACCAUCCACAGAGUCAACACCAAGCGAAGCGGACUUGCACAGCAAGGACAAGAAGACUCAUGUGACCUUGCUACGCCAAGUGUUCCAACGUCUGGAAGAACAUCAGUUCAAGCUCAAGCGAAGCAAAUGCUUUUUUGCUCGCCCCCGGCUCUUAUACCUAGGACAUGAGAUCAGCGGGGAUGAGGCCUCGUUCAGAGAGCUCCAACAGGCGUUGGUCACAGCCCCGGUGCUCGCCCUGCCGGAUUUCACUAAAACCUUCGAGCUGGAAACUGACGCUUGCGAUCAAGGGAUUGGCGCAAUACUCUCACAAGAGAAGCACCCUAUUGGUUUCCUCAGUCGCGCAUUGGGACCACGCAACCGCAUGCUCUACACCUAUGAAAAGGAAGGUCUGGCCAUUCUCUUAGCAGUCGACCACUGGCGGGCAUAUCUGCAGAACGAUGAGUUCAUAGUGCACACAGAUCAGCGCAAUCUCAUUCACUUGGAGGACCAGCGGCUAGCGACGCCGUGGCAGCAGAGGAUCAUGGCCAAGCUGCUCGGGCUCCGCUACCGCAUCGUCUACAAAAAAGGAGUAGAUAACCGGGCAGCAGAUGCCUUAUCGCGGCGGCCUCCUGUACCUCAAGGGGAUCUUGCAACAAUCACAUCGGCAAUACCGGCCUGGCUGGAGGAAGUGCAGAAAGGCUACGCUGAGGACCCAGCAGCGCAACGGUUACUCGCAAGGCUGGCAGCAGCACCGGAAGCGCAGGAUGGCUUUCAACUCAGCCAGGGGGUAAUCAAGCAGCAUGGCCGGGUAUGGUUGGGUGACAACGUAGCAUUGCAAAAACAGAUUCUCGAGGCUCUCCACACCGGAGCAAUUGGUGGUCACUCGGGGUUCAACGCCACCUACCGCCGAGUGCGGCGACUGUUUACAUGGCCAGGACUCAAGCACCACAUCAAGCUCUUCGUGGACGCAUGCCAGACCUGCAAACAAGCGAAGCCUGAACGAGUUCGGUAUCCAGGUCUUCUUGAGCCACUGCCGGUUCCCACUCAAGCUUGGCAGAUGGUGUCGUUGGACUUUGUCGAUGGGUUACCUCGCUCGGCUGGUUACAACUCCAUCCUGGUGGUCGUCGAUAAAUUUUCACGGUACGCCCACUUCGUCGCCAUGUCCCAUCCUUUCACAGCCUUCCAAGUGGCUCAAGCUUUCGUGGCUAACAUUUACAAAUUGCAUGGGCUGCCGGAGUCGAUCGUAUCGGAUCGCGACCCGAUCUUCACUAGCGUCUUGUGGAAGGAGCUGUUCACGCUGACUCAUACCAAGUUGUGCAUGAGUACCGCUCGGCACCCGCAGACAGACGGGCAGACAGAGCGCGUGAAUCAAGGCAUGGAGACUUUCCUGCGCUGUUUCGUCAAUGCUACACCAACCAAGUGGUACGCCUGGCUGCCUCUCGCGGAAUUCUGGUACAAUACCUCACCGCACUCUGCGCUGGGCACCACUCCCUUCGAGGUACUCUACGGACAUGCGCCAAGACACUUCGGCAUCAUCGACCCCGUGGCGUGCGCGUCACCGGACCUGGCGGAUUGGCUCCAAGAUAGGGCGCAAAUGGUGGCGCUCAUUCGGCAGCACCUGUUGCGCGCGCGCCAGCACAUGAAGGACUCGGCGGACAAACGUCGCUCAGAUCGCACAUUUGCGGUGGAUGAUUGGGUCUUCCUCAAGCUCCAACCGUAUGUCCAACGGUCAGUGGCGACAAGGAGCAACCAGAAGCUCUCCUUCCGGUACUUCGGGCCCUACAAGGUGUUGCAGCGCAUUGGUGCAGUGGCCUACAAGCUUCAACUUCCACCGACCAGCACCGUGCACCCAGUCUUCCACGUCUCGCAGCUGCGUCAAGCCCUUCCACCCACGGAGCAAGUCCACCAGCAACUUCCAGCACCAGCAGCGACAAGCCCCGUUCCUGAGGAGGUUCUGGACAGCCGAAUGGUGCAGCGCGGCAACUCCGGAGUUCCACAGGUCCUUGUUCGCUGGACGGACCAACCGGCGGAGUUUGCCACCUGGGAAGACCGUAUCGAGCUGCAGCAACACUUCCCAAAUGCUCCAGCUUGGGGGCAAGCUGUGUCUGAAGGAGGGAGGGAUGUUACGGCCCAUGGCCCUCAGGCCCCAACGGCAGAAGACCCGGGCGGCAGCGCCAAGACCACGGCAGCUGGGCUGGAACGACCGCGUCGCCAGGCCCAGCCCAGCAAGCGCUACGGAGGCCCAGAAUGGAGCACCGGCAAGGCAGGUGCAACUUCAAGGAUAAACAAGGUCCAGCUCAGGUCACACUCAGAAAAGAUAUUGUAA